UGAGGGAAUAUUUGGGGUCAAUGGGCGGAAGCCUGAACCAGCCAAGUCGCGUGAGGGAAGACGGCCCUAAGGGUUGUAAACCUCUUUUGCCGGGGAGCAAAAGCGCCGUGCGCGGUGCUAUGAGAGUACCCGGAGAAAAAGCAUCGGCUAACUCCGUGCCAGCAGCCGCGGUAAUACGGAGGAUGCGAGCGUUAUCCGGAUUUAUUGGGUUUAAAGGGUGCGUAGGCGGACAGUUAAGUCAGCGGUCAAAACGGGCGGCUCAACCGCCUGCCGCCGUUGAAACUGGCAGUCUAGAGUGGGCGAGAAGUACGCGGAAUGCGCGGUGUAGCGGUGAAAUGCAUAGAUAUUGC
rnacentral:rRNA from 1 species